UACGUAGGGGGCGAGCGUUGUCCGAAGUUACUGGGCGUAAAGCGCGUGUAGGCGGUCGCUUAAGUUUGGGGUGAAAGGUUCAGCGCUCAACGCGAACAGUGCCUUGAAAACUGGGUGACUUGAGUUUGGGAGAGGGUAGCGGAAUUCCUGGUGUAGCGGUGAAAUGCGUAGAUAUCAGGAGGAACACCGAUGGCGAAGGCAGCUACCUGGCCUAAAACUGACGCUGAGAUGCGAAAGCGUGGGGAGCGAACGGG
rnacentral:rRNA from 1 species